UACGAGGGGGGCAAAUGUUGUUCGGAAUCACUGGGCGUAAAGGGAGCGUAGGCGGGUUUUUAAGUCAGGUGUUUAAUCCCGGGGCCCAACCCCGGACCGGCACUUGAAACUGGGAAUCUUGAAUAGUGGAGAGGUCAGUGGAAUUGGGGGUGUAGCGGUGGAAUGCGUAGAGAUCCCCAAGAACACCAGUUGCGAAGGCGGCUGACUGGACACAUAUUGACGCUGAGGCUCGAAAGCAUGGGGAGCAAACAGG
rnacentral:rRNA from 1 species